CUACACUCUUUUCUACAGUUAACAAAGCUAUCUUAUUCUCUUUGAACCACUGAACACUAAGAUUUCAGAAAACAAUAACUACCACUCACUGUUAUCCAACAUGACAGCAAAGCUUCAGAAUUUGAAUGUCAAGCUAUUAUAUCACCAAAGCAUGUCUAUAGUACUUGCAAUUGUCAAAAAUCCAAAAGCUGAAUGUAAAUGCAACUCUCAAUUAUCAAUGAGAAUAAACUUAAAAAAAAAAAAGCAAAACAAUACUAAAUACAGCUAUUAAAUCAGAAUUUCUUUCCUCUAUCGAUUUAAAUCACAAUUACAACCCUGAAUUAAAUAAAGCAAUCCCAUUUCACAAUCUGGAUUCUAAUUACAGAUGGUUCUAUUUUUCAGCAUACACAUCCUGCACACAUCGAUGAGCAGCUUAAAAGAAGCAAGCAUCAUGGUACACCUGAUGGCAUCUAUCUGAAAUGAUCGGUUCAGUCUGCAGAAGCAUCAACGGGUGGGAGAGAACCUAUCCAGGAAGAGUCAUAAAUAACUUCUUAUUCAUCAGCAGAAAUAAGUCCAGCCAGCAAACGCUCCCUGAAGAUUCUUUUUUUGAAAAACUUCAAACUACCAAACAAGGAAAAGCCACUGGCUGAACACAGGAUACAAAGAACAUCUUUAAUUACUAUCAUAGCUUUUGACAUCAAGAGCUACCUGCAUAGAAGCAAAACAUUCACUGGAAUUGAGGAAAUAAAAUACUGAAAUGCCACUUGCUAAGCUCUGCAAAUACUUAAAGGAAUUAUCAGAGUAAUGUACCAUCGGGUGUAAAGCAUGCAUUCACCUGGAGAAAUUAAAAAAAAAAAAA